UUCCUGCAAGAGACAUCUGGAAGUCCCACGGAGGUAGAAGAACAUUUAAUUUAGGUCAGACAAGAACCUACCUGGAAGGUUUUUGUAGGUUCACUUCCACAGUCAGUCAUGUGAAGCCAGGUGGAGAGCUGUGCUGCUGGAUAACCUGCAUGUGUUAAAGAUACGGUGGAAUUCUGAGUCUGAGCAUUUUGUGGACUUCCAUCUGCUCCUAAAAUCUGCCUUGACAAGGUAGCUGGAAUAUCACCAGGGUAGCAGCCAUUUCCAGCAACUAGGAAGUACUCCACAAAUCUCUUGUGUGCUCAAAAGUUAUCCACAUGCAUGGACUUUGCUCUACUGCAGUAUGAACGUAAAGGUCUAUCCUUACUAACACUCG